rnacentral:misc_RNA from 1 species
AAAAUUAAAAAAAAUAAUAAUAAUGAAAUAAAAUUAUGACAUUGUUAUCUUACUCAUCGAGGAACUGCAAACUAUCAUAUCUCAGCUUGAAGCAUCAGGAAUAAAAGAAAAUUAAGAACUCCAUGGUAUGCCGAUAAUUUUAAGGGGGCACAUUAGUUGUGGGUACACAACCUAAACCCAAGUUCUAUGUAGCUGCCUACACGAGUGAAAGCCCGUCGAGUAGAUCUCUAUAAGAAGCACUCGCCUGCUCAACAUAGUUUAUCACAAACAAAUCAUUAUAACAUUCUGACUCUAAUUUCUGAUUCCCCAACACAUAAAGAUGUUCGGCAAUUGAGAUUGAUACUUAAAGCUACUCUAGCCAGUUUCUUCCCUUGGGAUGGUCUGCACAUGAACGCUUUCCGCAAUAUGAGAAGACUGAUGCUUAAGCUUAUGCUACACCAGCUAAAUUUCGCUCUACCGGUGUAUAAUCCACCGAGGGACAUAUUCAAGAGAUGAAAUCACUAUUCUGGGGGGAGAAGAGCUAUCUCGAUCUCUUGAAGUGAUUUUCCUUUCGUUUCCAUAACAUUCCCUUUUACAAAAACCACUGCAAUCAUGCAAAAUGUGGCAAAUAUAGUGUACAAGAGCUGUGGUCCGAGUUGCUCCAGCAAAUGCAAAAAUAGCAAGCCCACAAAGAAAUUGAUCACCCAGUGCACUGACAUACAGAUUGCCAUAGCUUUUGCCCUGAUUCGACUGGGGAAUAUCUCUGGCAGAAGGAGACCUGGAACUGGACCAGCUCCUAAAGCAAAUGUGAAGACAAACCUGCACAGAGGUUCUCAGUUUAUGCGUUCACAUUCUGACAUUGUAAAUUCAGAAAUCUACACUUUGACAUCUGUUGCCCCCUGCUAACAUCUUAUAUCAGUUUAAUUUUGAGUUUUUCUAAGUGGCUGCCAAAAAGAAUCAAGUAUGAUAAUUUUCCAGUCAAAGACCUAUCCAAUUCAUUGAUCCCCUUGUAAUUAGAUUUACAGAGCUCCAACAAGAAGAGCAACUCUUGGAUGCGAUGGCUAGCAAUGCGCGCGACUAGCAAUCGAUCAUCAUUAUAAGAGUUAAUUCAUGCAUCUAUCUAGUUUAUAUUUUUGGGCAAGGAUCAUUCAUUUAGGACAAAAGAAAAAUGAACAAAUUACAUUACAAGGGAAAACUUCUACGAAAAAAAAGAAAAAAGAGUCAUCAUGCUACAACCUAGCUUUUUUUCACUCGGCAUCCCUCAAUUUUGAGGGUUGUUUUAUAAUUGUCCCUUAACUUCAAUUUGUAUCAUAAAAAUACUCAAAUUUCAAUUUAGUACCACCCGAAAUCCUUCCGACCAAAUUCUGUUGAGUACUUCAGUCAAAAGCUGAUCUGGACAUACCUUAGACAACAAAAAAAAAAUAUCUCUUUGCCUCCAGAGAGAACAGUAUCUCUCCCUCAUCUCCUAUAGAUAAAUCAUUUCUCUCAAUUUUUUUCUCUCAUCACAUACUGUUCUCUCUAGGUGGUAGAGAGAGAUAUAUUUUAUUGUGUCAAUAUCCAUAUUAGCUUAUUGUGUAUAAUGUCCAUGUUAGCUUCUAUUCGAAGUAUCUAAUGAAAUCUGACUAGAGGGAUUUUGAGUAGCAUUAAAUUGAAGUUUAACUAUUUUUGUGAUAAAAUUAAAAUUAAGGGAUGAUAAUGAAAUAAUUUCAAAAUUGAAUGACGAUGGGUGAAAUUAAGCCCUGCAGCCCUAGGGUAUCCUUUGGUGGGUUGGCUAAAAAUGAAUCUGCACAUGAUUAGCAACCAGCAGCCUACAUAGUACAUGCAAGUUGCACUUAACAGCAGCAGGAGCCCGUCGUUAUAUUUUAAUAUGAUAUGUAUUACAAGAAAUAACAUAAUAUAAUUUAUCUUUAACGGUUACAAGAAAAAACAAUACUCACAUAAGCAUGCCACCAACAGACAGGUACAAAGCUCCAGAUCCUGACACAUAAGAACUUGCUCCAGCAACUUGAAAGCCCAUGGAUACCGCCUGCAUGGAGAAAACGCACCAUAUAAAGAUAAGGCUUCUAAGAUGAUCAUGGAUUCAUAGGCUACAUUGAUUUCACAUGAAAGAUAAAAUUACAGAGGAACAGCCAAUUGCAAUAGGAGCAACAAUCGUUGAGGUUCCCUAUACACAUAUUUAUUGACACGUAUCUAUACAAAAAUUGUGUCACUAAAACUAUUUAUCCAAAAUUUUCUAGUUUUGAUUCUGAUGUCAAAGUUUCAAAAUGUGAAGGUUUCUCUUUCUUAAAAAUCAAAUCCUUACUCUGGACAGAUUUUAUCCACCAAUACAGUGACUUAUCAUGCUCCACAAUAAAUGGCCAAAUGACAUAAGAAAGCCAAACUUUUUUGUGAAUUUGUGAUUUAAUUCAAUUCUUUUAAUUUUGAUAAUUUAAGCCCAAUUGUUAAAAUUAAUGGCAAUUUUAUCUAAAUGAUCAAAUUGAUCAAAAUUGAAAUUAAAAAAAAUAAUAUUUUAUAAAAAUUAAAGAAGAAAUUUAAUGAUCAAGACAGGAACAAGAGAGAGAAAAAAAUAAAUUAAAAAAAUGAUGAAUAAAAUAUUAUCUUUAGUUUCAAGUUUGACUAAUUUGGUUAGUUGCACAACAAUCAAUUAUAGCAAUUGAGCCUAAAUUGUCAAAAUUAAAAGAUUUAAAUUAAAUGCAAAUUCGCACAAAAGUUUGGCUUUUUAGUAUAAUUAGGUCACAAGUUGCAUAGAUUAUAUUAGAACUUGUGAGGUAAGGAUGCUGGGAAGUGUGGAGAAGGCCACAGGAAACUGCAGCGAUGAUGAAAUAAUGUUGCAGGAAAGCAUGGUGCUACUGAGUGAUUCAAAUGACGUACUUUAUGUUCCGUUGCGGAUAAAGUAGGUUUUUCCUUUUGCACUCCAGAUGUUUUCCGUUACACAAGCAGCUAGAUAUUCAUAAAGGCAACACUAUUUACACAUGAAACUUCCCAUGGAAACGAUUAAAACCUACCAUUCCAAAGAAGCUCCCCAGAAGCAACACUUUCCUUCCUAGUUUAUCCAUCAACACCAUUGCGGCAACAGAUGCUGAUAGAUUUGCAAGUCCGACAAAGACAUUUGCUAGGUCUGAAGGUACUCCCGCACUUUUAAACACAGUUGAAGAGAAAUAAAACACAGCAUUUAUACCAGAUAGCUGUUGUAAAGCAAAUAGGGUUGAUCCAAUAAAAACAACUGCAAAAGGAACACGUAAAUAACAAAGCCUAACAGACAAAAGGAAAGAAAAGUAGAAAACGAGGAAGUGACUGCCCAACAAAAUGCUAAACAAACACACAAUGCUAUCAGUAGGUAAACAUCCAUUGGGUUGGUUCAAUUCAGUUUGAAAAGUUAUUAAACCAAAUAAACUAAAUUUAAUAGGAGCUUCCUUUCAAAAAAAAUUAAUAGGAGGGUAGAUUGAAUCAAACUGAAUAGCCCGCCGGGGGGGGCCCGGUGGGGUUGGGAGGAAAUCAAACUGAACAAAUUUGGUUCGUAUUUUUGGACAAAUUGAAGUAGUUCAGUUCAUCAGUCUCGGACCUUUUUUUUUUUUUUUUUU